AACGGUCUAUACCUGCGGUACCUGCGGAGGGAUCAUUAUCGAGUUUACAACUCCCAAACCAUUGUGAAUCUUACCUUUUCGUUGCUUCGGCGGGAUCGCCCCGGGCGCUUCGGUGCCCCGGAUUCAGGCGCCCGCCGGGGGACCUAAACUCUUGUAUUAUAGUGGAUUUCUGAGUGGAUUACACAAAUAAUCAAAACUUUCAACAAUGGAUCUCU
rnacentral:misc_RNA from 1 species